rnacentral:lncRNA from 1 species
CUAAUUCUCCUAAUUUCAGCUGAAGCCCCGGGUAAGCUACACAGGAUCCCUGGUGUUUCCUCUGGUUCACAGACAUCCCUCCAGCCUUCUCUGGACAUUGUUUUAUACUUGCAAAAUCAUCUGCUCUCACCAGAUCCCAAAUCCUCCUUCCCAAAAGGAGCCCAGAAUCAGGUUUCUAUACUCCUAUAGACAGCUGCUUCCUCAGGAAGUGAUAUUGUGUACAUACCGCUUCCAAUAUAAAUGGCUCCUGCAAUUAAAGAAAAGAAAACAUUAGGAGGGUGAAAUGAUGGCAUGCACGCCAAUAAUAAUCUGAUAUUCUCUCUCAACAACUUGGGAAAAUUAGAAAGGGUAUAGUGAUUGAGUCAAAGGUCAAAGUCCCCCAAAAUUAGCACAGAGGACACCUAUGGAAAAGACAAGACCUUUUCCCACAGAAUUUACCUUUAAAGUAUAUUUAAAUGGGUAGUCAAUAACUCUUAAUCCACGGGGAAACUGCUGUGGAGGGAAACACUCUGCAUUGCAGUGGAUCGUGGAUGCCGCCAUCUACCACGCCUGCAGUCUGCAUGGGUUGGUGAGAGAGGUUGCCAAUCAAUAGCACCACACCAAGGGCAUUGCAGAUGUCAUAAAUAAUGCACAUUGGCAGAUGUUCAUGUCUACAUCUGAUUGGAAAGAAGUCAGGAAAGUAACAUUUCGGUUCAAGACAAAGAAAAGUGUCUUACCUUGGCAGCUGCCUUCUUCACAGGUGUGCUGUCUAGCCCUCAUUAGUUAUGUUGUAAACAAUGUCCUCAUUAGAAAUGUUUCCUGCAGUGUCCUCCUUACACAUGUGUUCAGCAUUCUCACUCGCGAUGUCACUUAUAGCAGCCUCAUUACAGAUGUCUCCAGCGUCAUUCAAGAUGUCAGGUACAGCAGCCUCAUUAGAGAUGUCCACAGUGUCCUCAUUACAGAUGUCUACGGCGUCCUCAUCGCAGAUGUCAUAUACAGUGUCUUCGUCAGAGAUGUCCUGUAUAGGGUCCCCACAGGGGGCUAGGAGAACACAGGGUAAAGGCUUCCAAGCAGAGCCCGCUGAAUCAAAGUUGGGUUUCAGGAAGAUCACGGAGUUCAGUGAGCACCCAACGCCUCUAUCAGACAGACCAUGGGCAGUGCCUUCACGGAGAGGAGACAGCAGGAUGACCAUGCAGUGCAGGGCUGGUGCAGAGUGCGGGCUCGGAUUCAAAUUCCACCAAGCAUGUGACCUUGGCAAGCUCUCCAUGUCGCC